GGCAUCGUAGCUCACCCGGUAGAGCGUGCGCUGCACAAAAGCGUAGGCAGUGUCUAUGCUUGGGUUCGAAUCCCACCGAGACUA
rnacentral:tRNA from 1 species